UCCGUGAUAGUUUAAUGGUCAGAAUCCGCGCUUGUCGCGUGCCAGAUCGGGGGUUCAAUUCCCGUCGCGGAG
rnacentral:tRNA from 1 species